GUGGAUGGGAGUGAAGGACGGAAGAGGCCCUGCGGAGGCGGCGGUGCAGCGCUCCGCUGCGGGCCGAGCCCGGCGGCCUGACGAUGUGGCUGCGCCGGUCCCCUCCCUCCCAUUCUCCCCUCCCCCUGCCGCCGCCUCCUCCUUCUUCUUCUCUCCUCGCUCUCAAAAUGGCGGCCGCGACGGCCGUUGAGUGAGAGACUCGGGAGGAGGGGGGACAGGCCCGGGAGGGCGCUGCCCUCGCUCCCCUCCUCCCUGGCCCGGGUUCCGGGGGUGCCAGGGCCUCCGCGGCUCCACCCGUGGCCCUCCGGGAAAGGGAUCGCCCUCCUCCCUCGGUGACUUAGCAAGAAAAGUAUUCUUGGGUAGAAAGGGCGUGGAGAGCAGGUCGCUCUAUGAUCUUGGGGAAAGGAUUCGGCCCUUCUCUCCACCGGCGCGGAAGGCGAGCUCCGCAGUCCCCACCCCACCCGCGGUUGGCGCUAAGGAACCGGGCUCCGCUCGGAGCCGCCUCGGCACCCACAGGCCUUGAGGCGUUCUGUCCCCCACCUGUCCUUAGGAUGGGGUUGACCCGAGAAUGAUGGCCCAGCCCAUCCCUGGCCCCCCUGUGCGGUGGUCGAGCCUCCGCACCCAUUAAGGAGGAGCGGCCCGACCCACCGAACCAUCUGCAGCAUCCACCCACCAAAUCCGGCAGGAUUUUCUGUUCUGCCACCGGCUCCUUAAACGGGAGUUGCCUUUUGACGUUGUAACCCUGAGCUUCGAGGCCCUCAGCCAUUCUCCUUCAUCUAAUCUAAUCUCUCCACUCAUAUAGGAAGCGCAGUGCCUUCCUUAGCCUCGCAGGUGAGAAUAUGCCUUUGAGGAGGUACCAGGGCAAAUUUUAACUCUACCACUCUAAACAGAAGAGUGGAGAGGAAGAGGAGGUUUUUCAGUAUCUGAGAUAAGGGAGAGCAAGGUGCCUUGGUUUUAUGUUAUUCUGCUUUUCUUUGGUGACUUAGCAAGAAACUCCUUGGGAGGAGAGCAGGAGAUUUUUCUUUUGGGCUUGAGGUUUGGGUCCAAUUUAUAUCAAUCCUUUGGUUACAAAAUUGUGCUUUGGAAGCGAAGAACCAGAUUUGUGAUUCUCAAUGGGCGAUGUCAUGCCAAGGUUUUCCCCCACCCCCCCACUUUGCUAAAGAGGCAAUCGGAAGAGAAUAAAGAUAUUACUGUUAUUCUGACCUCUACUUUAACACACAAUCUUUGAGGUUCGUAACGUUUUAAAGGCUAAACAAAAAAAAUUGUGCUAUUUUUGGUAAUUCUAUUUUUGUUGGGAGGUGGGUUGUUUUGUGUGAAUUUCAUUUUGAGGCUAGGGCGGAGGAGACAGUGCUUGGGCCUUCCAUACCGGUAAUGUCAUCCCUCCGCUUCAGCCACAGUAGUAUUUGCUUGAAAAAUUUUUUUUCUCUCUUCUUUUUUGCUGCAGCAGGGCUUGAUUGCUGCAGCUCCAGUCUUUUAAUCAGGAAAAUUUCCUGGUUGGGUAUGUCGGUAGUGAUAUAAUAUUGGAUAUAUUAAAAGCUUUUACUUAAAAUUUUUUGAUUGGGUUUAAGGCAUUAGCUAGCUUAAUCUCUCAUGGGUAUCUUUCAGGACACAGUUUUGCAAAAUAAUUGGCAGUUGCAAAUUGCAGUUUUUAUUAAAGCAGAAGAGUAAUCUGUAUUUAGGGUGAUUUUUUUCUUUCAUGUUCUAUUAUAAAUGAUCAUUGUUUGGAUUGUUCACAAGAAGAGGAUCUCCUAAACAAAUUUGUAGCUGUUGUUUUUAUAAAUCAGAAACUGGAACCCAGUUUUUCACAAAUUAUUUCUGUGUAUAUUGAUUUUGAUGGAACUAGCCCAAUUUCAGUGCCUCUCCCCCACCUCCUUUUUUUUUUAAAAUGGGCUAAUAUUUGUAGAUGCUGUGAACAGCCAUUGAGCCAGGGAGACUGGGUGGAGUAAGAGAGCUGAAGCUGUGAAAUGCUAGAUUGCCCUUUGAUAGCAUUUUUCUCUUGCUUAUGUUUUGUAAGGUUAUUUGAUGCUAAUUGGUGCUACAACAAAGGCAUUUCUCUGUGGUAAAUCUUAGAAAUGUCAUGUUUUUAGUUUCCACCUUUUUUGCAAGGUGGGUAUUGAAAGAUUGGGGUAAAAAGCAAAUGUCCCUGCUCUGAAGCAGAUACUUAUUGUCUUUAUAUAGAGAUGUAUAUAUACAUACACACCCUUCUUAAUAUUUUUUAUUGUUUUAGUCAAAUAAUUGUAAAUUAAUGAAUGCCAGAAAUAUUUGGCAAGAAACAGGAGUAGAAAUAUUCCAGAAACCUGAUAAUAUUACGGAUGUUUUCUUUUAAUGUUAGUUUGCAUUAAAACAUUAAAUUUGUGAUUUUUAAAUAAUGAACAUCAAAAUGAGCAAGAAAGGAUAAAAUAAUUUGUGUUAAAUGCUCUUUAUAUAGACCCGUUCUCUUGUGUUGUCCCUUGGAAGAGACCUUUUACUAAGAUACUACCAUAAGAGAGAGUAGAUCAUUUUAAGCUCUUGUAUCAGGCAUUCUCAGGAGAAUGUCAGAUUCAUGUAGUAAAUAUGAUUUUGAUGAGCCUUAUAACUUUGUCAGAGUAUGAUAUAUUUUUAAUUUUUUGUUAUUUUUAAUAUGAUUAGAAAGUAGAAGAGUUCAUAAGGUGAGGAAUGAGGUUAGUAUGAUAAUUCACUGUCAUGUGUCUGACAUAUCCCCAUCCCAUAUAGUAUUUGUAGCUAUAAAAAUUCACUAAGGGCUGUGAUUUUUCAGUAAUAAUUAGUUGAUUAGGAGUUUAAAAAUAAUUUGACUGAAGAGAGCUUUUAGUUCCAGUGUUUAUCUGUGUGUGUUUCUGAUAUUUGCAGCAGAAUCUUUUGCUUAAUUUGGAGAUUGAUUUUUAAAAUUCUUCAUAAUCCUAUACUUAGGAAACUUAAUGAGAUUGAGGUAGAUUAAUUUUUUUUUAGUAGAAUUACUUGGUGUCUUUUUUCCAGGUACGUUAUUGCUCAUAUUUCAGUGUCCAAGAAAAUAAGAGGACCUUAGUUUUUGUUUACCUCUGAUACAUAUUAUUCACAAUUUUUGUCAUCUUAAUAGGUAAGCCGUAGAAACUAUGGCAGUUGUCAGCAUUGGCAUGGAGAUACCUUUAAAAAAACAAACCCAAAGCAAAAUCUUAGGGCAAUCAGUUAAUUUUCCAAUUCUUCCCAUUGAGUUCUAAAACAGUGAGUCAUUCACUCUUUUGCCAAAAGGACUUGAGGCUCAGUUGAUUUUAAACCAUGCCUGUCAAGUAUGCUGUGGUCCUAAAAAAGAGUUUUUACUUGCCUAUAAGUUUCUGUUGUGAAAAUAUUUCAUUGGCAGGUUAUAUGUUUCCAUGCACUUUGGAAAGGGAGAAGUAGUUAAGUUUAAAUUCUUUGCCACUUUACAAUACAACUUUGUUUUUUGUUUGUUUUACUUAAAAAGUUGCUCUAUUUAAAAUAAUGGUGGAGUUCCCGUUGUGGCGCAGCAGAAACAAAUCUGACUAGGAACCAUAGGGUUGUGGGUUAGAUCCCUGGCCUCGCUCAGUGGAUUAAGGAUCAGGCGUUGCUGUGAGCUGUGGUGUAGGUCGAAGACGUGGCUCGGAUCUGGGGUUGCUGUGACUCUGGCAUAGGCCGGUGGCAGCAGCUCCGAUUUGACCCCUAGUCUGGGAACCUCCAUGUGCCGAGGGUGUGGCCCUA
rnacentral:lncRNA from 1 species